CCCCUUGCUGAACGUUUUUUUUGCCGUUCCCCAGUCGCUGCCACGAUGGGAGCACCCCGGUGCAUGCAGCUGCAUUUUCAGGAAACCAGCAGAUCCUCAGCAGGUUACUGGAUGAAGGAGGAGAUCUCAGAGUCCACGACAAAGAGGGCAAAACUCCCCAGUUCUGGGCUUUGUCAGCCAGGAAGGAAAGCAGUGCUCAGAUGCUGGAAUUUAUCCAACAGUGCACACUGCACAUGCAAGCUGCAAUUUGGAACCUUCCCUCUGAUCUGCUCAGGAAAGUUGGCUCCUCAAAGGCCUUGAUCUGCAGCCCCUCGAGGUUUGGUGGCCUUGUCCAAGGAAAUGCUGAUAAUUCACUGGGAAAAUUCCUGAAAGGACAGCCCAGUGUGGCCAGGAACAUUUACAGCUUUGGUUUUGGGAAGGUAAGAUGCUGUGGGUAGGGA